UCCUGCAAGGGGAGAAGUCAGGCGUCGGCACAGAGAGUCCCCGUCCCAGGGGGCAAAACUGACUGCGGAUGUGGCCACGGGGCGCAGCCCAACGCAGGGCUCAUCGCAGAGCCACUGAGUUACAGAACCACAGCAAGGUUGGGUUGGAAAAGAGCACAGAGCAUAGAAGGUCGAGUUGGGUUGGAAGGAACCCUAUAGAGCAGAGCCACAGAAGGUUGGGUUGGAAGGGACCCUAUAGAGCAGAGCCACAGAAGGUUGGGUUGGAAGGAACCCUAUAGAGCAGAGCCACAGAAGGUUGGGUUGGAAGGGACCCUAUAGAGCAG